GCUGAGUAUUUCUAUCAGCCUGGUGGCUUGGAGCCCUGAGCUAGUGGCCCUCAAAUAUUUUAAGGUGGAUUUGUGUCUGUCCUGAACCUCAUUCACAUGCAAAUUCUUUUUAAAUAGAAAUUUGUAAAUGGCGUGCACACCUCUAAGAGCGCUGCAGCUACUUGUCCAGUGUCUUGCCUUCUUUCUGAGUUACUGUUGGAGCCACGGCCAAAAUUAGAGAGGCGUUUUCUGUAAUGCUGAGAAAAGCAGGAAGCGGUGAGACGCUUGUAGCAGAACACGCAAAACUGUUUGGCGGUGGCCCCCCCUCCACCUCCCACCCACCGCUCUGUAAUUUCCCCAGGCAAGGCUGAAGGAGCCUUUCUUGGAAAACCCCUGAUAACGUUGCUACACAAAGGUUGGGAGAGUCCCUGACAGCCUGUGAGGGACCAUGUGGGGCUGGGGGUGGAUAGGGGAGCUUGACUCUGCAGUCCCCAGGGCAGUCUGAGUCCCCAGUGCCUGGCGUGGGUGAGCUCAGGGCUGCUCCAUGUGGGGGCAUCCAGGCCUGGCUGCUGAUGCCCUGUGGCUGAGGACACCUCCAUCUGCAUGAGCCAGUUUGGAAGUCCAGCUUGCCCCCCAGGCAGUGGAGGCCAGUAAGGGCUUCUCCCCAGAUUGACCACUCAGAUCGAAUUGAUCCAGGUGUUGAGCCAGAAUUGGCCCCAUUUUCUGCUAAUUUCCAUUCCCUGAUUGUGCUGCCUGCUACAGGAGUCAUUUUGGAUUUGGGCUGACCUGGUAGACUUCUGAAAGACAGUGCUCUGGGUUCAAGUUGUUCUCAGCUAGGUCCAGGCUAUGACGAAGACCCAGGGGAGCUGAGCUGUAUGGGGAAGCCAGAUGGAAACAGAAGAUUGGAAUGCCAAGGUGCCCCAGAGGGUAGGCCAGAAGACUUAUGGACCAUGGGUGGCAGAAGACCCAGCUUGGUCCCUUCCAGUCGUGUCCAGCAGGCAGCAGAAUGUGUGUGUACAUGCGUCACUGAGAGCAGCAAGGAUGGGACUGGUGUCAGACGAAGCCCUUGAAAGGCACACGCCAGCUUCUGGGGAGCAGCUUUCCCGGCACUGUCUCUGCAGCCUCAGCCUGGCCCAGCUCUGAUUAUGCCUCCCUCUCUUGGAGACCUUGUCACAUGCCCUGCUGGGGAUCUUGCCGAUGUCCUUCCAGGACACUCUUCCCUGCUCUCACCUUGCUCUGUGCCUCAGAGGCUGCCCUAGAUGAACUCUGUCAGACAGCUCCCCUACUUGGGCC
rnacentral:lncRNA from 1 species